rnacentral:tRNA from 1 species
GGGUUGGAGCUCAGUGGUAGAGCACUUGCCUCACAUGAGUGAAGCCCUGGGUUCAAUCCUCAGCACCAUAUCCA